GGAAGUAAAAGUCGUAACAAGGUCUCCGUAGGUGAACCUGCGGAGGGAUCAUUACUGAGUGAGGGCCUCUGGCCCGACCUCCAACCCCAUGUUAUCUGACACUGUUGCCUCCGGGGCGACCCGGCCUGCCUUCGGGCGAUUCGGGGCCCCGGGUGGACCAUUCAACUCUGCAUCUUUGCGUCUGAGUAAAUGAUUGAAUCAAUCAAAACUUUCAACAACGGAUCUCUUGGUUCUGGCAUCGAUGAAGAACGCAGCGAAAUGCGAUAAGUAAUGUGAAUUGCAGAAUUCAGUGAAUCAUCGAAUCUUUGAACGCACAUUGCGCCCCUUGGUAUUCCGAGGGGCAUGCCUGUUCGAGCGUCAUUACACCACUCAAGCCUCGCUUGGUAUUGGGCGCCGCGGUCCGCCGCGCGCCUCAAUGUUUCCGGCUGAGCUCUCUGUCUCUAAGCGUUGUGGUUAAAACUAUCCGCUUGCGAGAUCGGGGGGCGUCUGGCCGUUAAACCAUUACUCAAAGGUUGACCUCGGAUCAGGUAGGGAUACCCGCUGAACUUAAGCAUAUCAAUAAGCGGAGGA
rnacentral:rRNA from 1 species